GCGACGGCGUGAAUGAUAGCAGGGACGGUGGUGUGAAGGUCAGCAGCUGCGGCGACGUGAAGGGUGACAACAGCAACGUCUGCUUGAAGGGCUGCAACAGCGGCCUCGGCUUGAAGGGCUUCGACAGCGGCAGCGUGACGAGCAAAAGCUACGGCGGCGUGAAGGUCCCUGGAGCAAGCAUCUGCUAGAACCUGGUCGCCAACUUCUUUAGCUAACCUGCACAACCAAAAAUGGGGACUGCUCACGUCACAGGAACAGAGAUGCCACUUGUGAGUUGUGCUCUGGCAUGAUUACUCGUAAAGCAGCAAGUGGUUCAGGCCAUGAGUAUUGUUCAGGUUCAGGCUACGAGUAUUAUUAGUUAGAGCAUCUGGACAUAUUGUCAGCUUUUAACUGGAUAGUUCGUUCUAUUUUAAUAUAUUGUGUUACUACUUUGCCUAGCUGAUGAAGUAAGGUACUAUUUGAAUUUUCAGUUGUUGUAGCUCUUUAUUUUGGAGAUAGCAGCAUAGCAAGCUUGUCACUUUUUGAAUAACCUUUUUCUCUUACUAGCUGCUCCAUUUCUGGGUAGUAUACUGGAUAAUGUCUUGGAUGCUCUUUCAUCUUGUCAGUCUAUUGUUUUUCAUAACUGUGAAAGUGAGGCACUAACUGUUGCUGUGGCCAUGGAGAAAGGAACAACCCAUCCUAUUGGAAGGUACAGAAAAUACAUAAUUUUUGAAGAGCCCAGUUUUUCAUUUUAUGUUGGAUGUGAUUGCUUGAAUUUCUAUUCACACAAGCCAUUAGUGGUUGUCUUGCACUGGACCAGCAUGAGUUCUAGUUAACAUGAAUGUUGCCGUGAUCUUAUCUAUGCCUGUCUAGAACUGACCGAAGGACGCUUGGCUAACAGUGGCUACUGUCCUAAUGGCAAAAAAGGACUGACAAAGGGAACUCGUCUCACCCGGGAACAAAAUUCCCCCCUUCAAAAAAACAAAGAGUGGCAAAACCUGAUCGCGCUAGCAAGAAAUCUUCGGAGUUAAUGAAGAAGAAUACUGAGACCCUGUUGGCUUCGUCUCUUGGGGCUACAGAAAUACAAGAGGGCAAAAAUGUUGAAGAAAUGGCUAAAGCUUUGUCUAAUGUGAUUGUAGAAGAGUCAAAAAAAACACAGACCGAAGAUGCCCCACAGAAAAAGCGUCGGAUAAAACAAUAAUGAGGCCUGUUUAUAAGGCCACCUCUGGCAAAAGAGAAGAAAAGGACCUAGAUACAGACAAAAACGCUAAAGUAAGUAAAAAUGCCGAAGUUGCUGCGAUGGCUUCUAUAGAUAAAAUAAUCAAGGACUUAGAGCCUAAGAAAAUGAGUGAGGAGAUAGUAGAGGUAACUAAGUGAAAGGGAAAUGUGCCUUUGGACCAUUUCUAAGUUGUUUUGAUGAUUAACUGUCCAACACAUCACUUUAAACUAACCUUCUUCAUAUGAGCAUGAGAACAUGUUUAUAUUAA